rnacentral:rRNA from 1 species
UGAGGUUAAGUGACUAAGCGUACACGGUGGAUGCCUAGGCAGUCAGAGGCGAUGAAGGGCGUGCUAAUCUGCGAAAAGCGUCGGUAAGGUGAUAUGAACCGUUACAACCGGCGAUACCCGAAUGGGGAAACCCAGUGUGUUUCGACACACUAUCAUGUCAUGAAUACAUAGUGGCAUGAGGCGAACCGGGGGAACUGAAACAUCUAAGUACCCCGAGGAAAAGAAAUCAACCGAGAUUCCCCCAGUAGCGGCGAGCGAACGGGGAGGAGCCCAGAACCUGAAUCGGCUUGUGUGUUAGUGGAAGCGUCUGGAAAGUCGCGCAGCAAAGGGUGAUAGCCCCGUACACUAAAAUGCACAGGUCGUGAGUUCGAUGAGUAGGGCGGGACACGUGACAUCCUGUCUGAAUAUGGGGGGACCAUCCUCCAAGGCUAAAUACUCCUGACUGACCGAUAGUGAACCAGUACCGUGAGGGAAAGGCGAAAAGAACCCCGGCGAGGGGAGUGAAAUAGAACCUGAAACCGUGUACGUACAAGCAGUGGGAGCACCUUCGUGGUGUGACUGCGUACCUUUUGUAUAAUGGGUCAGCGACUUAUAUUUUGUAGCAAGGUUAACCGUAUAGGGGAGCCGUAGGGAAACCGAGUCUUAACUGGGCGAAUAGUUGCAAGGUAUAGACCCGAAACCCGGUGAUCUAGCCAUGGGCAGGUUGAAGGUUGGGUAACACUAACUGGAGGACCGAACCGACUAAUGUUGAAAAAUUAGCGGAUGACUUGUGGCUGGGGGUGAAAGGCCAAUCAAACCGGGAGAUAGCUGGUUCUCCCCGAAAGCUAUUUAGGUAGCGCCUCGUGAACUCAUCUUCGGGGGUAGAGCACUGUUUCGGCUAGGGGGCCAUCCCGGCUUACCAAACCGAUGCAAACUCCGAAUACCGAAGAAUGUUAUCACGGGAGACACACGGCGGGUGCUAACGUCCGUCGUGAAGAGGGAAACAACCCAGACCGCCAGCUAAGGUCCCAAAGUCAUGGUUAAGUGGGAAACGAUGUGGGAAGGCAUAGACAGCCAGGAUGUUGGCUUAGAAGCAGCCAUCAUUUAAAGAAAGCGUAAUAGCUCACUGGUCGAGUCGGCCUGCGCGGAAGAUGUAACGGGGCUAAACCAUGCACCGAAGCUGCGGCAGCGACGCUUAGGCGUUGUUGGGUAGGGGAGCGUUCUGUAAGCCGUUGAAGGUGGCCUGUGAGGGUUGCUGGAGGUAUCAGAAGUGCGAAUGCUGACAUAAGUAACGAUAAAGCGGGUGAAAAGCCCGCUCGCCGGAAGACCAAGGGUUCCUGUCCAACGUUAAUCGGGGCAGGGUGAGUCGACCCCUAAGGCGAGGCUGAAAAGCGUAGUCGAUGGGAAACAGGUUAAUAUUCCUGUACUUGGUGUUACUGCGAAGGGGGGACGGAGAAGGCUAGGCUAGCCGGGCGACGGUUGUCCCGGUUUAAGCGUGUAGGGGGUGUGACCUGGUAAAUCCGGUUACAUACUAACCCUGAGGCGUGAUGACGAUGCACUACGGUGCAGAAGUAGUUGAUGCCCUGCUUCCAGGAAAAGCCUCUAAGCUCUAGGUAACAUUAAAUCGUACCCCAAACCGACACAGGUGGUCAGGUAGAGAAUACCAAGGCGCUUGAGAGAACUCGGGUGAAGGAACUAGGCAAAAUGGUGCCGUAACUUCGGGAGAAGGCACGCUGGCAUGUAGGUGAAGUCCUUCGCGGAUGGAGCUGAAGCCAGUCGAAGAUACCAGCUGGCUGCAACUGUUUAAUAAAAACACAGCACUGUGCAAACACGAAAGUGGACGUAUACGGUGUGACGCCUGCCCGGUGCUGGAAGGUUAAUUGAUGGGGUCAGCCGCAAGGCGAAGCUCUUGAUCGAAGCCCCAGUAAACGGCGGCCGUAACUAUAACGGUCCUAAGGUAGCGAAAUUCCUUGUCGGGUAAGUUCCGACCUGCACGAAUGGCGUAAUGAUGGCCAGGCUGUCUCCACCCGAGACUCAGUGAAAUUGAACUCGCUGUGAAGAUGCAGUGUACCCGCGGCAAGACGGAAAGACCCCGUGAACCUUUACUAUAGCUUGACACUGAACAUUGAGCCUUGAUGUGUAGGAUAGGUGGGAGGCUUUGAAGCGUGGACGCCAGUCUGCGUGGAGCCAUCCUUGAAAUACCACCCUUUAAUGUUUGAUGUUCUAACUCGGCCCCGUGAUCCGGGGUGAGGACAGUGUCUGGUGGGUAGUUUGACUGGGGCGGUCUCCUCCCAAAGAGUAACGGAGGAGCACGAAGGUUAGCUAAUCACGGUCGGACAUCGUGAGGUUAGUGCAAAGGCAUAAGCUAGCUUGACUGCGAGAGUGACGGCUCGAGCAGGUACGAAAGUAGGUCUUAGUGAUCCGGUGGUUCUGAAUGGAAGGGCCAUCGCUCAACGGAUAAAAGGUACUCCGGGGAUAACAGGCUGAUACCGCCCAAGAGUUCAUAUCGACGGCGGUGUUUGGCACCUCGAUGUCGGCUCAUCACAUCCUGGGGCUGAAGUAGGUCCCAAGGGUAUGGCUGUUCGCCAUUUAAAGUGGUACGCGAGCUGGGUUUAGAACGUCGUGAGACAGUUCGGUCCCUAUCUGCCGUGGGCGUUGGAAGAUUGAGAGGGGUUGCUCCUAGUACGAGAGGACCGGAGUGAACGCACCACUGGUGUUCGGGUUGUCAUGCCAAUGGCAUUGCCCGGUAGCUAAGUGCGGAAAAGAUAAGCGCUGAAAGCAUCUAAGCGCGAAACUUGCCUCAAGAUGAGUCUUCCCUGGGCCUUUAAGGCCCCUGAAGGAACGUUUAAGACUAAGACGUUGAUAGGCUGGGUGUGUAAGUGCAGCGAUGCAUUGAGCUAACCAGUACUAAUGAUCCGUGAGGCUUAACCUU